rnacentral:lncRNA from 1 species
AUACGAUCAACUAUUCAAAAGUGUUUUUUUUUGGUUAAUAUAGACAUACAAGGAAAUAUAUGCUUAAAGGUUUAACUGUAAUUAGAGUUUCUCAAUAUCCUCGUCAUACAAGUCUGUAUAUAAGGUUAUACGUUACACUUCUAAUGAAUCAAAUCAUUAAACCUAUAUGGUAUCAGAACCACCAUACCUAAAAAUCAUACUCUCUUUUUUUGCCUCGUCUAAACAACACUCAAAAUAGCUUCAUCCCCU